rnacentral:rRNA from 1 species
UACAGAGGUCUCAACCGUUGUUCGGAUUCAUUGGGCGUAAAGGGUGCGUAGGCGGUCGCGCAAGUCGGAUGUGAAAUCUCAGGGCUCAACCCUGAAACUGCAUUCGAUACUGCGUGGCUAGAGUGCUGGAGGGGAGACUGGAAUUUACGGUGUAGCAGUGAAAUGCGUAGAUAUCGUAAGGAAGACCAGUGGCGAAGGCGAGUCGCUGGACAGCAACUGACGCUGAGGCACGAAGGCCAGGGGAGCAAACGGG